rnacentral:tRNA from 1 species
GCUCUGUAGUGUGUAACACGUCAAAUUGCAAAUUUGAAGACGCUCCUUUAUUGG